rnacentral:sRNA from 1 species
UAGACCUGUGAUGACUCUGAACUUCAAUCAGAUCUUAAAUUCUUUGGUGAGCAGGACACGAACCAAAAAGAUCCCAGAUCCAGGCACUCAAACUGAAAAGUUUCUUGAUGUGUUUUCCUUGAUGUUAAGAAUGAAGAACCAACCUUUUUCAUUUUCUUUUUCAGAUCUUUUCCUAAUAACUACUGGGACAAGUUUGUAAAGAGAAAGGUGAUCAACAAGUAUGGAGAUCUCUACGGAGCAGAACGCAUUGCUGAGCUUCUGGGUUUGGACAAAAAUGCUCUUGACUUUAGCCCAGUAGAAGAGACCAAAGCAGAAGCGGCUUCUCUGGUGUCAUGGCUAAGUUCCAUAGACAUGAAGUACCAUAUCUGGAAGCUUGGAGUUGUUUUUACUGACAACUCCUUUCUCUACCUUGCCUGGUAUACAACCAUGUCAGUCCUGGGCCACUACAAUAACUUCUUCUUUGCUGCUCACCUAUUGGACAUCGCAAUGGGCUUCAAGACACUGAGGACCAUUCUGUCAUCUGUAACUCAUAAUGGCAAACAGUUGGUUCUGACUGUUGGUCUCCUGGCCGUGGUGGUU